rnacentral:rRNA from 1 species
GAUGAUCGCUAGCUACAGGCUUAACACAUGCAAGUCGCGGGGCAGCAUGGGGGUUGCUUGCAAUCCCCGAUGGCGACCGGCGCACGGGUGAGUAACGCGUAUCCAACCUGCCCUUCACCACGGGCUAACCCGGCGAAAGUCGGACUAAUACCGUAUGUUGUCCAUUGACUGCAUCCGAUUUGGACGAAAGGUUUGGCGGUGAAGGAUGGGGAUGCGUCCGAUUAGCUGGACGGCGGGGUGACGGCCCGCCGUGGCGACGAUCGGUAGGGGUUCUGAGAGGAAGGUCCCCCACACUGGAACUGAGACACGGUCCAGACUCCUACGGGAGGCAGCAGUGAGGAAUAUUGGUCAAUGGGCGUAAGCCUGAACCAGCCAAGUAGCGUGCAGGAUGACGGCCCUAUGGGUUGUAAACUGCUUUUAUGCGGGGAUAAAGUGGCCCACGUGUGGGUUUUUGCAGGUACCGCAUGAAUAAGGACCGGCUAAUUCCGUG